UCAACUCUGAUCUUUGCAAGUUAUUGCAAAUUGAAAGAAGUGUCACAGCAGCAUACCAUCCACAGACCAAUGGUCUAGAUGAAAAGACCAAUGACAACAUAAAAAGAGCCCUCCGAAAAAUGGUGAAUGACCAGCAGAAUAACUGGGAUCUGUAUCUAGAUCCCACCCUGUUUUCACUGCGGUCAAAAGUACACACCACAACAAAAUACACACCUUUUUUUCUGAUGUAUGGAAGAGAGGCAGUAUUUCCAUCAGAAGUGCCUGCUCAAGUGCUGAUUUCCAACAUCAUUCUGCCAGACAACAAAAGGUACAGUGACUAUGUACAGUCUGAAAGUGAAG